rnacentral:miRNA from 1 species
AUGUCAUGGAGUUGCUCUCUACA